GAUGAACGCUGGCGGCGUGCCUAAUACAUGCAAGUCGAGCGAACAGACGAGGAGCUUGCUCCUCUGACGUUAGCGGCGGACGGGUGAGUAACACGUGGAUAACCUACCUAUAAGACUGGGAUAACUUCGGGAAACCGGAGCUAAUACCGGAUAAUUUAUUGAACCGCAUGGUUCAAUAGUGAAAGACGGUUUUGCUGUCACUUAUAGAUGGAUCCGCGCCGCAUUAGCUAGUUGGUAAGGUAACGGCUUACCAAGGCAACGAUGCGUAGCCGACCUGAGAGGGUGAUCGGCCACACUGGAACUGAGACACGGUCCAGACUCCUACGGGAGGCAGCAGUAGGGAAUCGUCCGCAAUGGGCGAAAGCUUGACGGAGCAACGCCGCGUGAGUGAUGAAGGUCUUCGGAUCGUAAAACUCUGUUAUUAGGGAAGAACAAAUGUGUAAGUAACUAUGCACGUCUUGACGGUACCUAAUCAGAAAGCCACGGCUAACUACGUG
rnacentral:rRNA from 1 species